rnacentral:rRNA from 1 species
GAUUGAACGCUAGCGGGAUGCUUUACACAUGCAAGUCGAACGGCAGCGCGGACUUCGGUCUGGCGGCGAGUGGCGAACGGGUGAGUAAUAUAUCGGAACGUGCCCAGUAGCGGGGGAUAACUACGCGAAAGCGUGGCUAAUACCGCAUACGCCCUACGGGGGAAAGGGGGGGAUUCUUCGGAACCUCUCACUAUUGGAGCGGCCGAUAUCAGAUUAGCUAGUUGGUGAGGUAAAGGCUCACCAAGGCGACGAUCUGUAGCUGGUUUGAGAGGACGACCAGCCACACUGGGACUGAGACACGGCCCAGACUCCUACGGGAGGCAGCAGUGGGGAAUUUGGACAAUGGGGGAAAACCCUGAUCCAGCCAUCCCGGCGUGUGCGAGUGAAGGCCGUUCGGGUUGUAAA